rnacentral:ncRNA from 1 species
ACAAAGGCAAUGAAUAGAUGAGUAAUUCUAUGAUUCUUUUAAGAGAGUCUCUGGCUGGUGAGAAGAGAUAAGAUAAUAGAAUGAAUAAAGACUAGGAGCUGUAUUUUGGAUCGUAAGUGAUAAAAUAACGUAGAGCCGCGUUAAGGUUAAUGAGAUCAUAUGAAUGAUGAAUUAGGGUGGUACCACGAUUAGCUCUCGUCCCUUGG